UUAGUUGUUAAAUAAUUUUUUUGAAGUGUUAAAUUGGCGAAUAGAAAAAAAGCUAAACAUUUUUAAAGACUUAACAGAAUUUCUUGUAAAAUAUAAUUGUUUAAAAAUGUACUUAAGAUUUCGACUGUUCUCCGUGUUUGAUGUGCCCUUUAAAUUAUGCGAAUUAACGUAGUUUGUGCCAAUACUAUGUAAAAUAGGUCAAGUGAAAGAAAUAUUUUUUGUAAGGUCCAUUUAUUUAAUCCUAUCAAGUAUCAUCGGAACUAUAAAAUUUACCUAUUACACUUGAUAAAUAAGCAAUAAGACAGCUGGCUACAGUGUUACCCCGCACGAAUAUUUUCCCAAUAAAUAGGGAGAUUAUGUUUUAUAUAAAAAUAUAAUCUCCCUAUUUUAAUAUAUUUGGUAUGUUGAGAUUAAAAAAAAACCAGUAGCUUAUUAUUAUAAAAACUCUAUAUCAAAUACUCCCUGUUCGUUAGAUAUCUAGGAGUAUAGUUUAUUGGAAAUUGUGCCUGUAUUGAUCAUAAUCAUAUAUAAAAGCUUGAUAAGUGUUGUGUCACUAUUAUAUUAUAUCAAUCGAAGUAUAUACUCGUAAGUUAGAUAGUAUUUGAUGGUAAUUUCUUAAUGGGCGUAUUUUUCUUAUAAUUGUAAUGUUUUUUGCUACGGUUACUUCAUUUAUAGCGAAUCCUAUUAAAGUUGUAGUCAUCUUAAUAUAGUGCAAUAAUUAUGAAUUAAAACAAUAUAAUAUAUACAUCAUUUUUAUUACAAUACAAUAUGUCUAUACUUUUUAUCUGUACAUCAUAGCAUGUAUAAGAAAUUGUGUGUCCAUUUAAAUUUCAAACAUAACUAAUAAAAAAGGUAAAUAGUAUUGACUUCUUAUAGUUCCUGGUUUCGUUGUGGAUACAAAAAUAUAAUAGGUAACAUUUACUAAGUUUAGGUUGUUUAAGAAUUGAAAUUUUGACUUUAUUUAUGAAAUUAUUGCUAUCAUUACAAUUUCGUUUUAAUCAAAUAUUUAUUAUCCGAGUACUUACUUUCAUGAUUUAUAUUGCAUAUUAGUAUGUAUAAACCAAAGCCAUUCAAUAGUGAGGUACUUUUUCAUUGAUUAGUAAGUACAAUUAAUUAUUAUAAUCACUAAGGUUUUUAAAGAAUUAAAAUAUUUUAUACAAAGUUUACAAAACUUUUUAUUUAAACAAAUAUGAAAGAUCUCCAUUUCUGAAACUUAUUAGGACUUUGUUGCAUUUCCAAUACAUUACGGUAAGAAUGUUGUAUGUAUUGUAACUUGUAAGGGAUUUUUAUAUAUCUACUCGUACGCCUAUAAUAUACAAAAUGAAAUUGUUGCAAUAUUAUGUUUAGUUAAGAUGGAAUUGUUAAAAUUAAAUAUCAUAUUCUUUACAAA